rnacentral:rRNA from 1 species
CUCGGAGUUUGAUCCUGGCUCAGAUUGAACGCUAGCGGCAGGCUUAACACAUGCAAGUCGAGGGGUAGAAGCAGCUUGCUGCUUUGAGACCGGCGCACGGGUGCGUAACGCGUAUACAAUCUACCUUUUACAGAGGGAUAGCCCAGAGAAAUUUGGAUUAAUACCUCAUAGUAUGUGAGAAUCGCAUGGUUUUUCACAUUAAAGUUCCAACGGUAAAAGAUGAGCAUGCGUCCCAUUAGCUUGUUGGUAAGGUAACGGCUUACCAAGGCAACGAUGGGUAGGGGUCCUGAGAGGGAGAUCCCCCACACUGGUACUGAGACACGGACCAGACU